rnacentral:rRNA from 1 species
AACGUAGGACGCGAGCGUUAUCCGGAGUGACUGGGCGUAAAGGGCGGGCAGGCGGUUGGACAAGACUGCUGUGAAAUCUCCUGGCUCAACUGGGAGGGGCCAGCGGUGACUGUCUGACUAGAGGGCAGCAGAGGCGCGUGGAAUUCCGGGUGGAGUGGUGAAAUGCGUAGAGAUCCGGAGGAACACCAGAGGCGCAGGCGGCGCGCUGGGCUGCGACUGACGCUGAACCGCGAAAGCCAGGGGAGCGAACGGG